GACGAACGCUGGCGGCGUGCUUAACACAUGCAAGUCGAACGGAAAGGCCCCCUUGUGGGGUACUCGAGUGGCGAACGGGUGAGUAACACGUGAGUAACCUCCCCUUGACUUUGGGAUAACUUCAGGAAACUGGGGCUAAUACCGGAUAGGAGCUCCUGCUGCAUGGUGGGGGUUGGAAAGUUUCGGCGGUUGGGGAUGGACUCGCGGCUUAUCAGCUUGUUGGUGGGGUAGUGGCUCACCAAGGCUUUGACGGGUAGCCGGCCUGAGAGGGUGACCGGCCACAUUGGGACUGAGAUACGGCCCAGACUCCUACGGGAGGCAGCAGUGGGGAAUAUUGCACAAUGGGCGGAAGCCUGAUGCAGCAACGCCGCGUGCGGGAUGACGGCCUUCGGGUUGUAAACCGCUUUCGCCUGUGACGAAGCGUGAGUGACGGUAGUGGGUAAAGAAGCACCGGCUAACUACGUG
rnacentral:rRNA from 1 species